rnacentral:rRNA from 1 species
AUUGAACGCUGGCGGCAGGCUUAACACAUGCAAGUCGAGCGGAGUGAUGGUGCUUGCACUAUCACUUAGCGGCGGACGGGUGAGUAAUGCUUAGGAAUCUGCCAUUUAGUGGGGGACAACAUUCCGAAAGGAAUGCUAAUACCGCAUACGUCCUACGGGAGAAAGCAGGGGAUCUUCGGACCUUGCGCUAAAUGAUGAGCCUAAGUCGGAUUAGCUAGUUGGUGGGGUAAAGGCCUACCAAGGCGACGAUCUGUAGCGGGUCUGAGAGGAUGAUCCGCCACACUGGGACUGAGACACGUCCCAGACUCCUACGGGAGGCAGCAGUGGGGAAUAUUGGACAAUGGGCGGAAGCCUGAUCCAGCCAUGCCGCGUGUGUGAAGAAGGCCUUUUGGUUGUAAAGCACUUUAAGCGAGGAGGAGGCUACUAGUACUAAUACUACUGGAUAGUGGACGUUACUCGCAGAAUAAGCACCGGCUAACUCUGUGCUAGCCGCCGCAGUAAAAC